GGGCACCCCUUGCUGGAGGUCCCUGCCAACCUGAGGCCUUCCAAAGAAGAGCAGUGCUAUGGGUCAAAACACCCUGGAUAAGGGAGGCAACAAAAUGUCCCAUUAUAUACCUUCAGAAACAUCUGUCAGCUGUGGGGUGGUAGCCCUUGAGACAGAAAAGCCCCCGCUCUCCAGGAUGGAAGCCUCUUCAUCAGAGAGCUCAGAAUCCGUGAUUGACAGUGCCAGGGCAGUUUUCUUCACAUCCACCUGCACAGGAUGAAAGCAGAGCGACAAGUUCCCGUAUGUCUGACUACCAGUGAAGCAUCUCCACCCAAGUCAGAGUGUUCAGGCAGAAGUCCUUCUCUGGAGAGAGUGUGCAGGGACAGUGUGAAAGCAGGAGGGACGUGACAAAGUGCUUACUGCACUGCCAGUGAAGGGCAGUCACAGCUCACUGGCCUUCCUGACUGCUGGAAGCUUUGCCUGCUCUCAGUGAAGAACCUGGAAGAGCCAGUACAAGUGAGAUCAGCCUGCAGGAGUCUCGCAAGCCUUUAAUCCUUCUUUUGGGAACAUCAGGGAGCAAAGCACCCCUUCCCUCUUGCUCUUGUGCUAGGCACAAAGAAGCCUUCUACAUGUAACAGUAGCUCAAGUAUGUGCAUUACUUUAGAAGUUAAAGCUUCCCACUUCACCCUGUGAGCCUAGCUACAUGCUCAGAGCUCCUUUAAAGGCAAACACUUGGCCCAUCUCUGUGGUGCAUGUACAGAAGAGUCUCGCCCUGUCUAACUGAGGGCAGGAGGUCAAUGUAACAGACACGAGCACUGCUCAUCUUCCUUUCCUAGCUGUGAGCAGAAUGGGAGCCUCCUAUGCAUUGUACCAGCGAAGCUCAGGAGACUUUUAUAUCCUCUGAGCACAUAGCAUAAGCAUCAAAACAAUUCUGCAGGUCAGCUGGUGGCUGGGGCUUGACUCCCCCUCCCAUCCUGCCUCACCAACUCUGUGAUGCUGAAUUCUUAAUAACCAGACUGGUUAUUAAGUAGUCAUCAAACAGAUAUUCAUCAAGCAGAUACGCUUCCUCCCUGGCAUUCUGCAGUGACGUGUUGGUGCACUGUUUACCAUUGUGGCUGCACUCAUACCACCUUUGGUUCUCAAGAUGCCACAGAGAGGAAGGACUGGCUCCUGUGUAGGCUUGCUGUGCUCUUACCACUGGGGAGAAGCCUGACAGCUCUGCCUCACUCUCGCUCUCCGUCUCUGCUGUUGGCUCAUCACCUGCUGCAGGUUCACUCUUCACUUGUCGCUCUAUGAGUAAAAGAAGAUGGGUUUACUUGAGGCUGAGGGAACUUCACUCUUUUAUGCAUCACUCAUCCAACACUUCUACCCUGUAAAACCAUGCAGAUUUACCAGAAUGUACAAGUUUCCAGAGACAACCACAACCUGUUGCUUUUGUUUGCAAAACCCAGGACAAGCCCAGUUCUCUCUUCCAAACCCUCAAGUUUCAGCCUGUUUCUCCCUGUUCUGUCACAGUUACAUACUAUUUUCAGACAUGCUCUUCCCUUGUGCCUUUGUUAAGGCUUCACCCUGGAGUCAGGAAGAAGGUGAGAGCUUACUCUUCUUCUCGUGCUUGUGGUGCAGUGUCUCUGCCUUCAUACUGUAGUCCAGUUUCAUCAGAACAGGCUCCAAUCGUGUGUACAUCUUCUGGAUCAGCUCAUGGUAGACCACCAGCGGCCA